UGCCUGGUACACUUCUGGUAAUCAAUCAGUGUGUGUGCCUCUGUGUGUGCACAUGUGUCUGUGUGCAUGCGUGUGUUUGCGUGUCUGUGUGCAUGUGUGUGUGCAUGUGUGUGGAUGCAGAGUGUGCUGGGAGGAACAGGCUGGGCUGGGCGGCUGCAGGAUUAGGGGGCUAUGGGAGGGAGGGUGGCAGCAGUGGGUUGAAGCCAUGAGCACGAGGGGAGAGCAUU
rnacentral:lncRNA from 10 species